rnacentral:rRNA from 1 species
AACACGUGGACAAUCUAACCUAAGGUGGGGGAUAACCCCGGGAAACUGGGGAUAAUACCCCAUAGACUAUGGGUGCUGGAAUGCUCUGUAGUUGAAAGGUCCGCCGCCAUAGGAUGAGUCUGCGGCCGAUUAGGUUGUUGUUGGGGUAACGGCCCAACAAGCCUGUAAUCGGUACGGGUUGUGGGAGCAAGAGCCCGGAGAUGGAUUCUGAGACACGAAUCCAGGCCCUACGGGGCGCAGCAGGCGCGAAAACUUUACAAUGCGGGAAACCGUGAUAAGGGAACUCCGAGUGCCCGUAAAAUCGGGCUGUCCACCAGUGCAAAUAACUGGUGAAGAAAGGGCCGGGCAAGACCGGUGCCAGCCGCCGCGGUAAUACCGGCGGCUCGAGUGGUGGCCACUAUUACUGGGCUUAAAGCGUUCGUAGCUGGUCUGUUAAGUCUCUGGGGAAAUCUACUGGCUUAACCAAUAGGCAUCUCAGGGAUACUGGCAGACUAGGGACCGGGAGAGGUGAGGGGUACUCCAGGGGUAGGAGCGAAAUCCUGUAAUCCUUGG